rnacentral:rRNA from 1 species
UACGUAGGGUGCGAGCGUUAAUCGGAAUUACUGGGCGUAAAGCGUGCGCAGGCGGUUGUGCAAGACCGAUGUGAAAUCCCCGGGCUUAACCUGGGAAUGGCAUUGGUGACUGCACGGCUAGAGUGUGUCAGAGGGGGGUAGAAUUCCACGUGUAGCAGUGAAAUGCGUAGAGAUGUGGAGGAAUACCGAUGGCGAAGGCAGCCCCCUGGGAUAACACUGACGCUCAUGCACGAAAGCGUGGGGGAGC